rnacentral:lncRNA from 1 species
GGUGGUUUCGGUUUUUGUGGUCUUGGAGUGUGGAUUCCGAAUUUUCUGCAUGGAGAAGUGAUGGAAAGGUUUUCAAUUGGUUUUUUAAAACAUAUUUUAAUUUCUUUUGAGACAUGGUGCACAUGAGGACAAAAAGACAACAAAAUUGGUGGUUGAUUGAAGCUUAAAAAUUGAUUUGGUCUUGGUGGUGAGUAGUGCACGACCAUGAGGUUUUUCUUUGGCCAAUUGGACUUUUUAAUUUAUUUGUUAAUUGCACUUUG